UCCGAUAUGGUGUAACGGCUAACAUUGCCGCCUUUCAUGGAGCAUAGUGCGCGGCAGCUCGGGGUUCGAUUCCCCGUAUCGGAA